AAUUAAUUCAAAAUUAAUUUUUUUUCCAAAAGUUCUAACACUUCUUCUUUUUUUAUUUUUUUAAUUAUUUUAUUUUAUAUUUUAAUUAUUUCUUUCUCAUCUUCUUUAACGUCUAACUCUUUAACUUUCAAUAACAUCACCUUCUCUCUUUUUAUUAUUAUUGUAAUUAAUUCAAAAUUAAUUUUUUUUCCAAAAGUUCUAACACUUCUUCUUUUUUUAUUUUUUUAAUUAUUUUAUUUUAUAUUUUAAUUAUUUCUUUCUCAUCUUCUUUAACGUCUAACUCUUUAACUUUCAAUAACAUCACCUUCUCUCUUUUUAUUAUUAUUGUAAUUAAUUCAAAAUUAAUUUUUUUUCCAAAAGUUCUAACACUUCUUCUCUUCUUUAACGUUUCCCACUUCUCUCUCUUUAUUAUUAUAUUUAAUUAAUAAUUAAUUUUUUCAUCCCCCAUGUCUCCAUUAAUCUCUUCGUUUUUCAACUCUUGCUAAAUCUCUUUCAUCCUCUCCCUCUCCCGUAAAAAGUCGCUCGCUUUCAUCACUGUUGUAUCGCGUCAAGUUCAUAGAAUCCGCAGAUCCCGUCGUGUAUUUGGUGGGGAUGGCAGUGGUGGUAGAAGAUGAAGAUCUUGGAUGCGGCGGCUGCGGAAGCGGCAACAGAAGUGGAAGAGAGUGUAUGGAUAUAUAAUCAACUUACUAUUGAUAGUAUAUAUAUACGGUGAUAAUCAAGUAAUCGGGAAUUUUUUUGUAUUUUACUUUUUCUUUAAUGUUUUUCUUUUUAACUACCCUAUCUAUUAGCUUUUUUCAAUUUCUUUUAUAGUUAUUUAGAUGUAUGUAAAAUUGUUAAACAAUAAGCUGAUAGAAAAUAUAUUUUUUUAUAGAAUUUGUUUCUAGAAUUAGAUGUUUUUUUAAAGGAUUUGCAUGUAUGUUAUAAAUAAUUGCUUACCCCAAUUUACAAUUUUAUAUAUACACUGAAUAAUUUUAAAAAAUUUACUAUUAGACAAUUAAAAUCUAAUUCAACAAAUACAAUUUAAAUCAUAUUAAAGUUUAUAUAUUAAAAUUUUAUAGCACCUUGAGCUAAUUUUAUUUAAAUUAUUUUUAUUUAAAUUAAUUGAAUUAUUAAUCUUGCUAAUAAUUUUAUUUAAAUUGUAUUUGUUUUCCUUUAUUUUACGCCUCUCUUUUUUUCUCUUUUUUUUUUUCUUUCUUCAUCUCCUCACUGUAUUUUGUUUUUGAUAUAUGUACAAUUUCAAACUAUCAUCGAUGAUCAACAAUAAUAAAAAAAUUGCUUUGAUAAUAUUUGUCCGCUGUAUCGUGCGGAUAACUACACUAGUUACUAUGGUAGGAGAAUAAAUGAAAUACGGUGAACCAUUCGUCGUGUCCACACAUGAUGAAUGAUUCAUCGUGUUCAACUUAAACUACACCACUUUUCACGCACGCGUAGCGCUCGCAUGACGCUUAAUGACGGGAAUAGAACUAAUCUUGUAAAUAUAAAUUUUAUGGAACUAUUUGUAGAAAUUUUUUUUCGAGAGAGUUAAAUG
rnacentral:lncRNA from 1 species